rnacentral:rRNA from 1 species
AUGCUCGCCUUGGGCAUCAUCCCGAUCUCCACGUCGCCGUUUUCGGCGCCGGUCCUCCUCGUCCGCAAGUCGGACGACACGUGGCGCUUCUGCAUCGACUACCGCGCCCUUAAUGCCCUGACACUCAAGGCCAAGUUUCCUAUCCCGAUGGUCGACAAGCUACAUGGGGCACGCUUCUUCACCAAGCUCGACCUCCAAUCGGGCUACCACCAGGUGCGGAUGCACCCGGAGGAUGUCGCCAAGACAGCAUUUCGGACUCAUCAUGGCCACUUCAAGUUCUUGGUGAUGCCUUUUGGCCUCUCCAACGCCCCAGCGACCUUCCAGGCUUUGAUGAACGACGUCUUUCGCCCCUACUUGCGUCGGUUUGUGCUCGUUUUCUUUGAUGACAUUCUUAUCUACAACGCCUUGUGGGCAGAUCACCUUCAGCACAUCGCCAUCGUCUUCAACGAGCUUCGAGCGCACCAUCUUCAUCUUAAGCGCUCGAAGUGCUCGUUCGGGACGCCUUCAGUCGCCUACCUCGGCCACGUCAUCUCGGCCGAGGGGGUUGCUAUGGACGCCGACAAGGUGGAGGCCGUCGCGGCCUGGCCGACACCGCACUCACCGCGAGCUCUUCGCGGCUUCCUGGGCCUCGCGGGGUACUACCGGAAAUUUAUCCGGGAGUUCGGCCUCAUCGCGUCCCCGCUCACGCGCCUGCUGCGUCGCGACGCCUUUGACUGGGAUGCGGAUGCGACAGCGGCGUUCGAGGCUCUCAAGGGGGCCCUCACGACGGGUCCCGUUCUCCAGAUGCCUGACUUCGACCGCCCGUUCGUCGUGGACUGCGACGUCUCCGGUGUGGGGUUCGGCGCUGUCCUUCAUCAGAGCGAUGGACCGCUCGCGUUCUUCAGCAGGCCCUUCGUCGCGCGCCAUCUUAAGCUCGCGGCCUAUGAGAGGGAGCUCAUUGGCUUGGUGCAGGCCGUGCGCCAUUGGCGGCCCUAUCUUUGGGGCCGGUCGUUCCGGAUUCGCACGGAUCACUACAGUCUCAAGUUCUUAUUGGACCAGAGGCUGUCUACCGUGCCGCAGCACCAGUGGAUCAGCAAGCUCUUUGGCUUCGACUUCACCGUCGAGUAUCGUCCGGGCCGCCUUAACACCGUGGCCGACGCCCUGUCCCGCCGCGACGCCGACCGCGACGCAGCCGUCGGCGACUCAGAGGGGGCGACGCUAUGCAUCCGCUCGGGGCCCUCCUUUGCCCUCUGCCAACAUCCGCAGGGCCACUGCGGACGCGCCGGAGGCCCAGCUCCUUCGACAGCGCCUGGAUGCCGGCGACCUGGAGGAGCCGUGGCGCCUCGCGGAUGGCUUGCUCCUGCAUGGGCGCCGUCUCUUUGUGCCGGACCAAGGCGACCUCCGUCACCAGGUUCUGCUGCUGGCACACUCGGCCGGCCACGAGGGUGUGCAGAAGACCCUCCACCGUCUCCGCGCCAACUUCUACAUCCCCGGUGA